UACUUUCUCAGUUCUGCACAGAGAGAGAUAUGGAGAGAAUGUCUGCUUGUUUAUGUCUUGCGUUCCUUUUAUUCUCUUUUGUUACAGAUGCAACGUAUAUCCCAAGACGUUCUCACCAUCUUUUAUCUUCGAGACAAAACAGGAAGACCUCCAAGUCAAACACAGAGUUGCCCUCUCACUUUGAGACUCGUUACUUCCCUCAGAAUCUUGACCACUUCAGUUUCCAGCCAGAGAGUUACGAAGUCUUCCACCAAAAGUACCUCAUAAACAGUCGUUUCUGGCGCAAAGGUGGCCCCAUCUUCGUCUAUACAGGCAAUGAAGGCGAUAUAGAGUGGUUUGCUUCCAACACCGGUUUCAUGCUGGACAUUGCUCCAAAGUUCCAGGCUCUUCUAGUCUUCAUCGAGGUAAAAGCUUUACCAAAAUCCCAUUGUUUGAAGAAUCUCUAACUUAAAACACUAAUGCUUAUUGUCUUUUCCUUAAUCCUUGCAGCAUAGGUUCUAUGGAGAGUCAAAGCCGCACAAGCUGGCCAAUACAUUGGGAUUCUUGAACUCACAGCAAGCGUUGGCUGAUUACGCUAUCUUGAUAAGAAGCUUGAAGCAUAAUCUAACCUCUGAAGCAUCUCCUGUCAUAGUCUUCGGUGGCUCUUAUGGUGGAAGUAAGAUUAAAAAAAAAGUCAAUAUUAGUUUCUUAUUGCUACAUUUUGCUCUUAUAAACGAUCUUCUGUUGUACUCUCUGAGACAGUGCUUGCGGCGUGGUUCAGGCUAAAGUAUCCACAUAUAACAAUUGGCGCACUAGCAUCCUCUGCUCCGAUUCUGAACUUCGAUAAUAUUGUUCCAUCUUCAAGCUUCUACGACACCGUUUCUCAGGACUUCAAGGUAUGUAUAUAUAUAUCAAACAUGGUUGUUAGUCUGUAAGCAUACUUAACUAUGAACUUUCUCAUUACGAGCAGAACGUGAGUGCUAACUGUUUUGAAGUCAUCAAGAGAAGCUGGGGAGAAAUGGAAGUAUUCUCCACCAUUAAAGAUGGUUUACAAGAACUCAGCAAAAUGUUCAGAACUUGCAAGUAAAUAAAAAAAUCUGUUUUCCUUCAAUGUUGAUUCAUUGUUUAGUUCCAAACAAUCUAAGAGAACGUUUUUGAUGAAUCACAGGACCCUACACUCUGUUGACUCAGCCUCUGGUUGGCUAGAGACAGCUUUUAUUGAAACAGCAAUGGUUAAUUAUCCAACACCUGCAAAUUUCAUGGCUCCACUGCCUGCUUAUCCAGUGGAACAGAUGUGCAAGAUCAUGGACGAGUUACCUCUAGACGCUAGCAAUCUAGAGCGUGCGUUUGCCGCUGCGAGUUUAUACUACAACUAUUCAGGUUCAGAGAGUUGCUUCGAUAUGGAAAACCAUACUGAUUCUCAUGGACUCAACGGUUGGGGGUGGCAGGUAUUCAUUAGAGUCUAUAUUUUCUCUGUUUCUUCUUUUACUCACAAGGGAAAAGAAGCUAAUGGAUCAAUGGGAAAAAAAAAGGCAUGCACAGAGAUGGUGAUGCCAAUGAGCUGCUCGAACCAUACCAUGUUUCGACCAUUUGAAAGUGAUGAUGAGAAAGCAAACCAAAAAUAUUGUCUGAGGGAAUACGGUGUCAAGCCUAGACCACACUGGAUCACCGCUGAGUUUGGCGGGCAGGUUAGUAUCGUCUCUUCCUAUUUUCUUUUCCAGAUAACAUACUUCAAGCUAAGAGUCUUUUUGGCAGAGAAUAGAGAUGGUGUUGAAGAGAUUUGGUAGCAACAUUAUAUUCUCCAAUGGACUGCAGGAUCCAUGGAGCGGAGGAGGGUGAGAGUUCCUCAUCCAUAUUCUUGGUCAUUCUUUAUUUUCUUUAGAACAAAGAGUUGAUGUUAAUGGCUUUUGUCAGUGUCCUGAAGAACAUAUCGAGCAGUAUCAUUGCGCUUGUGACCAGAAAAGGUUAACGUUCUUGAAGUAUAAGAGUGAAUUACACACGUCUGUUAGAAACAGGAGACUUAAAAAAGUGUUUCUUUAAAGCAGGAGCUCACCAUACGGAUCUCAGAGCUGCUACAAAAGACGACCCUGAGUGGCUGAAACAACAGAGGAGGCAAGAAGUUGCUAUUAUAGAGAAAUGGAUCAGUGAGUAUUACAAUGAUCUGGAACAAGAAGAACAAGCUAAGUGAUAAGUUCAUUGUCUGACUACCAAAAAAAAAAGAGAGUUCAUUGUCUGAUUGUCACGUGUCUCUCUGAGUGUCUGUAAUGAGUAAAAACUAUUAUCCAAUAAUAACCUUCAUUUGGAUUUUGAUUAAACAACAUAAGCUACAAUAAAGGGUGAUUCCUGAGUCUAACGAAAGUAUAGUCCCUUUUGAGAAGAAUAUAGAAUUCAAAGGGUAAAAUAAUAAAUUAGUAAAUAAAAGUAUAGCACCUUUUUUUCAGAAAGAUUAAAGAAUUCAAAAGGUCAAACCGUAAAUUCGUUCAGAGAGCGGUUUAUACAAUAUUACCGUGAGAAACGCACCACCGACAUCUGGACCGGACCCACUGAAACGCUGUCGUUUAACUAUUUCCCUCUCUAGUUGGUUUGGUUGGCCCCAUUCACACUCAUCAGCUCUGUUUCUAAAUCUACUUUCACACACUAAAUCGCCAUUGUUGCUGCACUUCCACCACUCUGAUUCAUUUCGAUUGAGCUUUCUUUUUUUUUCUUGCUAUGGCUCGUCGGUCUGGAGAUUGCAUGAGAUGCCUGGUGAUCUUCGCGGUUGUAUCUGCUUUAGUAGUGUGCGGACCUGCUCUUUACUGGAGAUUCAACAAAGGUUUCGUUGGAUCCACUCGUAAGAGCUCUGUUUGUCCUCCUUGCGUCUGUGGCUGCCCACCUCCUGUUUCCCUCCUCGAGAUCGCUCCUGGUAUGGUUUCGUUUUUGAUUGGAUCUGAGUUUAAAGAUUGGAUCUUUUAAUCAAGCUCCCUCUUUUAGAUUUUGAUGUUAUGUUGUCUCAGCUUGUGUAUAGAUUAACAAGUUGGUGUUUUUUUCUUUUUGCAGGGCUUGCAAAUCUCACUGUUACAGGUUAGAUCUUGAUUCUGAGCUUCAUUUUGUUUAGCUGCUUUGCGAGUGUUGUUUCCCUUACUGUUAUGUUCUGUCAAGUUGUAAACUUGGGUUGAUAGUGAGUGUUAUUCCAAAGUCUGUACCUUUAUGUUUUCUGAGUUUAGGCUUUUACGAGUUAUUUGGAGAACUGAAGUUUUGAUGAAUUAGUAGCCAUUAAUCAUCUCAAUUGAAGAAGCUUUAUUGCAGAACAGGCUAGUCAUUUUGGCAGUGUUACUCUGAUAGUUAUCUUGCUGAAUGACGUUUUCUGAUAAUUUAUAUAGAGUUAUAGCUCUUGUAUUCUCCUUUGAAGUAGUACGUUCAUUCUCUAACUUGUGUUGUGAACAGAUUGUGGAGGUGAUGAUCCGGAGCUCAAACAAGAAAUGGAGAAGCAGUUUGUGGACCUUCUGACCGAAGAGCUGAAGCUGCAAGAAGCAGUUGCAGAUGAGCAUAGCCGUCAUAUGAACGUUACACUCUUAGAAGCUAAGAGAGUUGCGUCUCAGUACCAAAAGGAAGCUGAGAAAUGCAACGCCGCCACUGAGAUCUGUGAGUCAGCUAGGGAGAGAGCUGAAGCUUUGCUGAUCAAGGAGAGGAAGAUCACUGCUUUGUGGGAGAAGAGAGCUCGGCAAUCAGGGUGGGAAGGUGAGUAAAAACUGAUUGCCCCCUUCUCAUGUCAAACCCUGAAGUGUUUUUGUCUGAGAAACCGAAUUUUUAAGGGAAAGUCCUUUAUGUUCCACGUGUGUUCGGGUUGAUUAUAUAAAAAUAUAUAUUUAAAAAAAAAAAACAAAAACAAAACCGACGGCCCCGAACGCCCGGGCCUACUGCUUAGUAUGCAAUUGCGAGUUAUGUUUUGAAGUCAUGUUGUCGAACAAUGAAUAGUUUGCAAAAUGUUUUGAACAAAGGAGAGAGUUAAAAGCGAAAGCAACUGCAAACUUAUCGUGUGACAAUUCAAAGGGGACGAUUACUAUUACUACCACUCAUGUUCAACCACGAAUCUUUCGUGUACGAUGCGAUCUCAUUUUUUAUUUAAUUUGUGUCCCAAUAAGAAAUAAUUGUAGGCCGAUUGAGUCAGCGACAUGACAUGACAUGUUCAUCAUCCUGCCCAUUUUCUCACAACCACAUAACAAGACAAGAACCUUAAACUGUUCAUUUUCUUUUGAAUCUCGCCAAUUUUCUCAGAUAAGAAAACUACUGUUUGUGUAAGGGAUGAAGAAAUCUUCAUGGGGUUGCACAAUCUUUAUCCAGUUAUCUCUCUGUCUCAUCGUCUAUGUGUCUCUGCAUUUUGGUCACCAAUCUUUGUUAUCCAGCAACGACGGUGACAAUGCCGGAGCUCUAGAUCUUCAUUUCAUCUCCGUCUCCGGUGGUUUCAGGCCUCUUCAACGUCAAACUCGUCUUCUCCGAUUGGUGUGUGUUUCUUCCCAUCUUCUUUCAAUGAUGAAAGUUUGGUUCUUUAUAGAAAUCCUAGCCUCCUCAGAUUGAAAAACUGAGUCUUUUAUAUUAAUUAGAUCACACUCUUGGUUCCACCAGAAAGGAGAAAAAUGUUGAUUUUUUUUUUGCUUCUUCUUAGCAUUGCUAGUUAGGCCUUUACAAGUUAGGUUGUUGAUUUUAAGGAUAUUAUAUGUUUCCUUGGUAGAUAAGAGAUUAUUGUACUGAUGUUGUGCUGUUGUUUUGAUGGAUGAAGAUGGAGAGAGUUGCGGAAACUUACAAGGCUAAAUUUGUGGUGAGCACAAGUGAGGAUGGAGGAGGAGAUCUACUCCUGCUAAAUGUCAGCUCUCAAGCUUAAUCUUCUUAUUUGCUUACUUGAACUCUAGUGGAUAUGAACAAAAAGGUUAUGAUCUCUUUUGUUUUAGACAGUUUAUGAGUAAUGAGUGUGUUGGUGUUUUGGCAGGAUACUAGUGUUUCCUCUUCACUGAAACUUCCGUGGUAAUUUGAUUUUGUAGAACAGAUUCUUUCAGCUAAGUUACUUCAACUAUAAGACUGGUCAAUGUUAUGCAAAUUUAGGUAUACUACGAAGAAAGGAUCCGGGAGUUUCAGAGAGCACAUCGAGUUGCCUUUUGGUGGAUCCUUGGAUGUUGUUUUUGUAGACACUGCCUCGUUACAGAAGGUAGCAUCAGUUUAUAUCUGUGAAUCUAAAGGAAAUGAACAUGAGAUUUUUCUUCUGUUUUCAUACUGAUUAAUAAUUCCACCAUCUUACUGCAAUUCAAGCAAAUGAUGAGUGGAGGAUUGAAUGGCUCGAUGAUCAGUCAAUUAAAAGAACUUACAAAGAUUCUAAAAGCAGCAGAUGGAGACUGGUAAGUCUGCUACUCAGCUCAUAGACUCUCUUGAUCUCUCAAGAACUUGUGGCAAUACCGCAACAAAGCUCCUUUGUUUAUUAGUUGCUUACCUAAUUUUCUUUAUGGAUGAAACAACAUUCUAUAGUCGUUUUUGAUACAGGCGCAUUGUGGUUGGAUCAGACCCGUUAUUCGCAUAUACACUAAGUAAUGGUCCAGAGGAAGCCAAGGGAGCUGCAAGGACAUUUCAGCAAAUCACCAUCAAAUAUGGAGUGGUAAGACACUGAAAACCCCAUCACAUUCCAGAAUUUUUUUUUAUCGCCGUAUCUAGUCCAGUGAAAUGGAAAACAUCUGAGAGAAAAAACUUUGAUGAUUCAAGAACAUGUAUAUAAGCGAAAAGGGCUGUAGCAACGGAGCCAACGAAGAUAGCUUCACUUGCAUUAUGGUUCCUAAUGCAUCAGAGAACCGAGGUUUAACGAAUGAUAGUGAGAGGUAACAACUAACAACAUUAUUAAUCAUAAACAUUAUUAAUCAUAUCUCAAUAUCUCUAAUAUUAAAUGCAUAACUGUCAGGGAAAUGGAAGAUGGGUUUCUUCUUCACAGAGUUAGCUUCUCAGAGUUUGUAAGUGUACUUCUUUCUCUAGUUAUGACAUGUCCUCUUGACAAAAAGUGAAAUAAUGUCUUCUUUGUAUAUCAUAAAACAGGUUACAUAUACUAUCAACUUAUCAGGACAAGUCAUAGACACAAGAAUAGUUAAGCAAAAGGGCAAAGAGUCCAUCUAAGAUUAUUUUCAUAUUUUUGUGUGUGUUAUACCCCUCUCCAUCGUUGUAAACUCUGUAAAGCACCAACAUUCUUUAUUCUUCCUUUUAAGUGACCAAAAUACCCUUUCACAGCUCGGAGUCUCAGGUUAAUCACCGGAGGGUGAAACUGGAAAUUGCAAGCUAGAAAAAUGGGUAAUAUAAAUUUUCUAAAGGAGUGGCCUUUGGAUUUUUACACUCAUUAGUUUAAGUAUGAGGUUCUGCUCCCGGAGGGUCUCGACAUGGCGGCCAUCUAUGGCCUCGCCGUCGUUAUCUUCCGGUGGAAGCGGACGCCGAUGAUUUCAAAUCUUUCUUUGAUGAGCCACUUGAAAAAGUGGUGAUGAAUCAUUUAAAACAAUAUACUCCAUGGCCAUCACAACUACUCUGUCUUCCUCGCUUUCACAUGGAUUCCUUUUCUUUAUAUAUAUAUAUAUAAGGUUUCACUCUCUUCUUCUUCUUCUUCUUCUUCUUCUUCUUGGGAGACUAUGAUGAUUCUUAAGAAGUCAAAUGGACCAGACGUUGGUUGUGGUAAACACUCUCUUACAUGGCGGGGCUUUAAUAGCAGCCAUGGCGGAAGAGUUUUUAUCCUUCAAUCUGUCUGAGAAAAGGCGAAUCUGAGUCCUCCUCUGUGACAUGCAAAGUUUUUUUUAUUUCAUAUAAAAAAAGUAAAUUUUUAUUAGCUACUGUUAAAGCUUUGAUUCAUCAUCUUUGUAUUAUUGAACUAGUCAAAUGAUUUUUGUCAUCUCAUCUUUGGUUACAACUUACAACACAAAGAAAAUGGACAAAGCUUGCAUAUGUGUUGUUUUGCCUAAUAGUGUGUUCUUUCUACAUCUACCAUAGAAAAUGUGCGUAUGCAUGUGGUUUAGAUCAGUGUUGCCAACUAAGGAUUUCGGAUUAUAACCGUAGACAGGAAAGAAUGAACUUCAUCAUCUUUUUAUAGAUAGUAAUUAACAACUGUUAAAGCUCGCACAGCAUUAUUGGUUGCUUAAAACGUUAAUUGUGGGUCUAAACCCUUUUGUUUUCAACUGAGAGAAUGAAUGAAACAAGAGAUUAAAGAAGUUAACUUUGAAAAAUGUUGUGGUAUCAGGAUGCAAUUAUAACCUUUUGUGACAGCUCAACUAACUGAUAUGAGUGGGGCUCUGUUUUGAUCAAUAAUCUGACUCUGUGGGACAAUUAUUCUUUAUUAAAACUUGCCAGUUUAGAUUGCCUUGUUGUAUUUAUCUAUUUAUGUUCUCUGUUUUAAAAUUAUUAUCGGUGGGUGAGAGAACUUUGCCGUUACUACUUUAUUUUCCGUACUAAUCAAAGAAAAAGCUGGUUUCCAGUUUGGUUUCUUGUUUGGUAAUGAACCAGCUUACAGCUAUGUAUUGCUUAAAAAUAUAUACUGGAAAAUCUAGUGGUCCUAUUGCCAAGUGUGUUACAGUUCUGAAAUGUGGGAUGUGUUGUUCUUCCUAGUAUCAUAGCCUCAGUGACACUUUCUCAGUUAAAGGAUUAAUUUUCUGGAUACUAAUGUUCUUGGCAGUCACAUGUACCAACCUGUUUUCAGAACUCUGUGUAUAACUGGAUCUUAUAACGAACAAAUAGAUGGCAGAUUAUUGUAUAGUAAGGUGUUUGUUAAGAUGGGAGUCAGUUCUGUGUAGAUAUCAUACGUCUACUUGUGUUAGUGAUUGUUAGUCUUUUUUUGUUUGACAAUAGCAUUGUUGAGAGCAUAUGAAAAGUUAUUGUUAUACAGACAAACAUUUCCCUUAUUUAUCUCACUUUUUACCUCCACAAGCUCCAAAAGAGUUCACACUGGAUAACAAAAGCUGACGCAGACACAAGACCAAACACACAUCCUCUUAUUUAUUAUAGUCUGUUGGUUCGAGUUGUACUUUCUCAGUUCUGCACAGAGAGAGAUAUGGAGAGAAUGUCUGCUUGUUUAUGUCUUGCGUUCCUUUUAUUCUCUUUUGUUACAGAUGCAACGUAUAUCCCAAGACGUUCUCACCAUCUUUUAUCUUCGAGACAAAACAGGAAGACCUCCAAGUCAAACACAGAGUUGCCCUCUCACUUUGAGACUCGUUACUUCCCUCAGAAUCUUGACCACUUCAGUUUCCAGCCAGAGAGUUACGAAGUCUUCCACCAAAAGUACCUCAUAAACAGUCGUUUCUGGCGCAAAGGUGGCCCCAUCUUCGUCUAUACAGGCAAUGAAGGCGAUAUAGAGUGGUUUGCUUCCAACACCGGUUUCAUGCUGGACAUUGCUCCAAAGUUCCAGGCUCUUCUAGUCUUCAUCGAG
rnacentral:lncRNA from 1 species